rnacentral:rRNA from 1 species
CCUACGGGAGGCAGCAGUAGGGAAUUUUCGUCAAUGGGCGCAAGCCUGAACGAGCAAUGCCGCGUGAACGAGGAAGGUCUUCGGAUCGUAAAGCUCUGUUGAAGGGGAAAAAGAGCGGAGAGAGGAAAUGCUUUCUGAUUGAUAUUACCCUUCGAGGAAGUCCCGGCUAACUACGUGCCAGCAGCCGCGGUAAUACGUAGGUGGCGAGCGUUAUCCGGAUUGAUUGGGCGUAAGGGGUUCAUAGGCGGCCUGCUAAGUCGGGGGUGAAAGCUACCGGCUCAACCGGUACAGGCUCUGGAAACUGGCGGGCUAGAGAGCAGGAGAGGGCGGUGGAACUCCAUGUGUAGCGGUAAAAUGCGUAGAUAUAUGGAAGAACACCAGUGGCGAAGGCGGCCGCCUGGCCUGUUACUGACGCUGAGGCACGAAAGCGUGGGGAGCAAAUAGGAUUAGAUACCCGAGUAGUC